AGCAGUAGCCGCGGUAACACGGAGGGUGCAAGCGUUAUCCGGAUUUAUUGGGUUUAAAGGGUCCGUAGGCGGAUCUGUAAGUCAGUGGUGAAAUCUCACAGCUUAACUGUGAAACUGCCAUUGAUACUGCAGGUCUUGAGUAAAUUUGAAGUGGCUGGAAUAAGUAGUGUAGCGGUGAAAUGCAUAGAUAUUACUUAGAACACCAAUUGCGAAGGCAGGUCACUAAGAUUUAACUGACGCUGAUGGACGAAAGCGUGGGGAGCGAACAGGAUUAGAUACCCCUGUAGUCCCUGUCUCUUAUAA
rnacentral:rRNA from 1 species